GGGUUAGCGGGGAAUAUUGGACAAUGGGCGCAAGCCUGAUCCAGCCAUGCCGCGUGUGUGAAGAAGGCCUUCGGGUUGUAAAGCACUUUUAGUUAGGAGGAAGGGCAGUCGAUUAAUACUCUGCUGUUUUGACGUUACCCACAGAAUAAGCACCGGCUAACUCCGUGCCGCUGCGCAAAAUAAA
rnacentral:rRNA from 1 species